rnacentral:rRNA from 1 species
UGGGGAAUUUUGGACAAUGGGCGCAAGCCUGAUCCAGCCAUGCCGCGUGCGGGAAGAAGGCCUUCGGGUUGUAAACCGCUUUUGCCAGGGAAGAAACGCUCCGAGAUACUACCUCGGGGUAAUGACGGUACAUGAAGCAUAAGCACCGGCUAACUACGUGCCAGCAGCCGCGGUAAUACGUAGGGUGCAAGCGUUAAUCGGAAUUACUGGGCGUAAAGCGUGCGCAGGCGGUCUUGUAAGACAGAGGUGAAAUCCCCGGGCUUAACCUGGGAACUGCCUUUGUGACUGCAAGGCUUGAGUGCGGCAGAGGGGGAUGGAAUUCCGCGUGUAGCAGUGAAAUGCGUAGAUAUGCGGAGGAACACCGAUGGCGAAGGCAAUCCCCUGGGCCUGCACUGACGCUCAUGCACGAAAGCGUGGGGAGCAAA